rnacentral:lncRNA from 12 species
CUUGUCACAGCAGCUCCCGCUGACGGGAGCCAGGCAGGAACCUCCACGCGCAAUUUCGGCCUUUCCUUUGGCUUUUGGUCUUCCAGCCCUGGGCAAGGAGGUGCUGGGAACCCUUGGUGGCUUUCAGUGAACGAGGGGGAGCAGAAGCUCGGCUUGAGGAUCUCGAUGUCGCUGCCAGCCUGAGAACUUUAUGUGCCUGUUGCAGUGAUCCCUUCCCAAAAACACAUCACUCACCAAAAUACGAGGGGUCUGAGCUCCCAGGUCAGAGCUUUUAUAAAAAUAUAUAUGAAACAGCCUCCUGAGCUCUUAAUUUUGUGGAGCCGCAGCCUUUUGUAAAAAGAAAAAUGGGGC